UGGAGAGUUUGAUCCUGGCUCAGAUUGAACGCUGGCGGCAGGCCUAACACAUGCAAGUCGAACGGUAACAGGAAGCAGCUUGCUGCUUCGCUGACGAGUGGCGGACGGGUGAGUAAUGUCUGGGGAUCUGCCUGAUGGAGGGGGAUAACUACUGGAAACGGUAGCUAAUACCGCAUAACGUCGCAAGACCAAAGAGGGGGACCUUCGGGCCUCUUGCCAUCAGAUGAACCCAGAUGGGAUUAGCUAGUAGGUGGGGUAACGGCUCACCUAGGCGACGAUCCCUAGCUGGUCUGAGAGGAUGACCAGCCACACUGGAACUGAGACACGGUCCAGACUCCUACGGGAGGCAGCAGUGGGGAAUAUUGCACAAUGGGCGCAAGCCUGAUGCAGCCAUGCCGCGUGUAUGAAGAAGGCCUUCGGGUUGUAAAGUACUUUCAGCGGGGAGGAAGGCGAUGCGGUUAAUAACCGCGUCGAUUGACGUUACCCGCAGAAGAAGCACCGGCUAACUCCGUGCCAGCAGCCGCGGUA
rnacentral:rRNA from 1 species